AGAAUCAACGCUGGCGGCGUGCCUAACACAUGCAAGUCGAACGAGAAAGUGGAGCAAUCCAUGAGUAAAGUGGCGCACGGGUGAGUAACACGUGACUAACCUACCCUUGAGUGGGGAAUAACCUAGGGAAACCUGGGCUAAUACCGCAUAACACCUACGGGUCAAAGGAGCAAUUCGCUUAAGGAGGGGGUCGCGGCAGAUUAGCUAGUUGGCGGGGUAAUGGCCCACCAAGGCAGUGAUCUGUAUCCGGCCUGAGAGGGCGCACGGACACACUGGAACUGAAACACGGUCCAGACUCCUACGGGAGGCAGCAGUGGGGAAUUUUGCGCAAUGGGGGAAACCCUGACGCAGCAACGCCGCGUGGAGGAUGAAGUCCCUUGGGACGUAAACUCCUUUCGACCGGGAAGAUUAUGACGGUACCGGAAGAAGAAGCCCCGGCUAACUUCGUGCCAGCAGCCGC
rnacentral:rRNA from 1 species